CCGGGUAACUCCGUGCCAGCAGCCGCGGUAAUACGGGGGGUGCGAGCGUUGUCCGGAAUCACUGGGCGUAAAGGGCGCGUAGGUGGUUUGAUAAGGGUGUGGUGAAAGUCCGGGGCUCAACCCCGGAUCUGCCGUGCCGACUGUCAAACUCGAGGGCUGUAGAGGCAGACGGAAUUCCGGGUGUAGCGGUGGAAUGCGUAGAGAUCCGGAGGAAGACCGGUGGCGAAGGCGGUCUGCUGGGCAGUUUCUGACACUGAUGCGCGACAGCGUGGGGAGCAAACAGGAUUAGAUACCCUGGUAGUCCACGCCGUAAACGAUGGGUACUAGGUGCCUGGGGGAGCGACCCUCUGGGUGCCGGCGCUAACGCAGGAAGUACCCCGCCUGGGGAGUACGACCGCAAGGUUGAAACUCAAAGGAAUUGACG
rnacentral:rRNA from 1 species